rnacentral:rRNA from 1 species
GAUGAACGCUAGCGGCAGGCCUAAUACAUGCAAGUCGGACGGGAUCCAUUGAUAGCUUGCUAUCAAUGGUGAGAGUGGCGCACGGGUGCGUAACGCGUGAGCAACCUGCCUCCCUCAGGGGGAUAGCCUCUCGAAAGAGAGAUUAACACCGCAUAAUAUCAACAGUUCGCAUGUUCAGUUGAUUAAAUAUUUAUAGGAUGGAGAUGGGCUCGCGUGACAUUAGCUAGUUGGUAGGGUAACGGCUUACCAAGGCGACGAUGUCUAGGGGCUCUGAGAGGAGAAUCCCCCACACUGGUACUGAGACACGGACCAGACUCCUACGGGAGGCAGCAGUAAGGAAUAUUGGUCAAUGGGCGGAAGCCUGAACCAGCCAUGCCGCGUGCAGGAUGACUGCCCUAUGGGUUGUAAACUGCUUUUGUCCAGGAAUAAACCUAAAUACGAGUAUUUAGCUGAAUGUACUGGAAGAAUAAGGAUCGGCUAACUCCGUG